CUGGUUCCUCCAGCUCCCUCAGCUCUUCCUUCUACGCUGUUGAGCACUGCGGCCUGCCAGCACCCGGUCCCUGGAAAAGAAAGUGUUGGAUCAAGGUGUGGGCAAUUUAAAAUUUUGAUAGAUAUUGCCAAGUUACCCUCCAUGUGUGUGCCCACUAUCAAUGUGUGAAGACAGUAAAAGCUCCUAUUGGUUCAGUUGGGUAAGACCACUAAUGGUUUAAGAAACUUUUGUUCCCUCCAUUGACAACGCAAUAUGAGUAAUUCACCUGCACCCUGCACUGGAGAGCUUACUGGUAGAAGAAUUAUUCCAUAAGAGACAGAAGUGGGUUGCAGGAUCGCUGAAGAGGAGACCCUGAGUACAUCAAAGGACUUGCAGGAGUUGCAAAGGAAGCUGUCGUUGCUCAUAGACUCUGUCCAGAAUAACUCAAAGGCCACUGACUGAAAACUCCAGUGGCAACUGUUGGCUGGCUAUGAAGUCUACAAACUUAGAGGGGCUUACCAGGAGUGACCAGGUGAACAGAACCAGAGAUUUUUUUUCCAGUCAUCUCUGGAAGGUUAUUUGGAUCAUACAUGCCCCUUGGGAUUAUGACUCAGAGGGUGCUAAGUAGUUACACACUCCUUGGAUGUGUACUCUGGCUUUUUCACUUGUUUGUAGGAUCCUACAGUAGCCACUUAAUAAUUGUUGUGGCUCAGCAGCUCCUCCUGCCUCUCCCUUCUCCCCAAAGAUGUAGAGUUGACUUUGGCAGGGUCCUAAACCCCUAGAGCCUGGGAACUUGACCCCAAGGUCAACUUGACACAAGAAUCUUGUAUCUAAGGGCCCAAUUUGAGGCAAUUAUGGGUUCGGCCUUCUGUCUUCCCUCCCUCUCUUCUUCCUCUUUCUUUCCCCUCUUCUCUCUCACCCUGACCCUCCCUCCCUUCCUUCUCUCUCCUUCUUCUUCUUUUUUUUAGAAAUGAGAAAAACUGUUUCCUUCUCCACUCAUUUGAAACAAGAGUAGGGGUGAAAAUAUCCAAAACAGAACAAGCUCUUCUGCUUUAUUUGCUUUUUAUCAGAAAAAAACCCAGCAACAUUGGUCAAUAAUGGACGCUCAAAGUUGGAAAACAGAGUCCAAACUUAAUUUUAUAAAAGUCAGAACAUUUUUGAAAAAGCCAAAAGGAAUAGCUUCCACUGUUGAGUACUGUUAAGUGCUUAUUACUCUUUGUACUUGAUACUUUUGUAUUAUUUUAAAGAACUUGUCCUGUUAAGCCAUUUCUUUAAA